GCAACCUUCGACUGCCCGAUGAAGACCUAUGGCUUCCUCACGCCUGAAUUUUGGAGCCAUACCAAGUUUUCCAUGACUCCGUUCCAUCAAUACACGGACCUGCUGGCGAAGGCUACCAAGGGUCUUGUGCUUUAGGCCUGAACUGAGACAGUAGAGCCUUAUGAUGGUUUGAUGUGUCUAAAUGCACUUUCUUAUAUUUAAGAACUAUGGGAGUCAACUUUGGACCCUGUUUGCUGGCCGCUUUGAUGAUUUUGCCUUUUGGUCUAUGACAUGUCUGAUAGUCAAAUGAAGCUUUUAUUUCAAGCCCUGUUGUUGAGAGUGUUGUAGAGGAGCAACGGUGCCAGGACGCGUCAAGGUUGCUCCAGAAUAAAUGGAUCAUAGUGCGGUGGUCAUGGGAUUGGAAUCUGCUCUGUAUUUACAGGGUGAAGCCUUCGUGUCUCCUCACGGGAAAGUCACUGACCUUUCUUGGGACGUGGACCACUGAUGGCCCCUGUCAUUCCCCAUGACGGCGAUCCCAUGGGAAGCGAUAAUUGAUCCUGCAGCAAUUUUUGAACAGUUAGAAAAGAGAAAAUUGAUCCCCCAAGCAUUAGCAGCAAAAAGGUUUCUGGAACAGAAAAUUAUAGUAUUGAUGCUAAGGAUGCUAAAUAGAGAAUUCUGAUAGGAUGCUAAAUAGAGAAUUCUGAAGACGGCUUCACCUAAAGUGUGGAAACUAGAGACUAAAGAGAUCAGACCCAACAAAGAAAAAAGCGACACUGCAAGGAGGCCAAAGCCUACGCCGUGACCCCCUCUAGUACCCUGCUAUGGUGCUGUCAGCGCAGCCGCCUCGCAGGUGAGUGCACGUGCGUUGCAUGUGGUAACGCAUGUGCUACUAACCAUACAGAAAAAAAUCGACACUGCAAGGAGGUCAAAGCCUGCGCCAGUGACCCCCUCGAGCACCCUGCUACGGUGCUACAAGCGCAGCCGCCUCGCAAGUUGAUGUUACGGCUGGGCAAAGUAUUGAACCCUGAAGAGAGCCGUGGCAGCACCCCCAAAAUGGCUCCAGUUCAGGCCUUCCAUAGCCAUGGCAGACGCGACAUCUAGGAGCAGAUGCGACAGGAUCAUAAGUAGGAGCGGCAACGAUGCUGUAGCGAGAGACGCGGGUGACGAGGUCGCCGUGCUGCGGUGGUGGUAGGACGGGAAGGAGACGAAAAAGUAGGAGUCAGAGCUGUUCAACAAUGUGAUCGAGUCGCUGAGACGAGGAAGAGCAAGGUGAAGGCACUCGUCGGUGCCUUUGAGACCGACAGACCGUCAUCUCGCUGCAGAAACGAGCAAGCCUCCUGCUGCUCCAGCUAUGGCAGCAGGUGUCGUGCCAUGAGCGCUUCGUGACCUGCAGUUUGCAUGAUCACCUUUCUUGGAAUUUUGGACUUUUUUGUUGUUAGUGACAGUAAAAGUGGCACUUGUUGAGGUUUGCUCGUUCCCAUGUAAACUGAGUUUUCUCAUGGGAGUUUCCAUGCUUUCGUAGUGCUUCCAAAAACCGAAAGUGUGUAUAGAUUUUGUGUUUGUGCAAGGCUUGGCAAGUUGGUAUUGUACUGAUAAGUGAUAAGUAAGCAAGUUACUGUAAUUAUUUAAACUAGAUUAUUUUGAAAGGAA